CAGAGGGAGAAAAUGGAGUCUUCCCUCCCUCAAGGCAAGGACAAAGGAGGAGGAGAUGAUGUUAUGGUUAAGCCAAGAGAUAGGAGAGUGAGUCUAUUUUUCCCUUCACCAGUCUCUCACUGUGCCUGCCUUUUUCUCUCUCUAUUGCCAGGCUCUUCCUAAAUGAUGAGCUUCUUCCCUCUAGAGAGAAAGAGAGGUCACUUCUCUCCCUCCUCAGCUGUGACUGUCCUUCACUGAGGCUUGAGUCAGUUAAAGAUUUUUGACAAUAGAUUUAUUCUGUUAAACCAUGGAUGAAGGAUAAGGUUGAAAUGGAUGGUGGAUUGGUGUCAAAAGGGAAAGAGGGAGGAAGGGAUGAGUAUCUAGAUAAACCCUUCCCCCCAAUGUUAGGCAACUCAGGUUUGGUGGCCUGAACCCUUGAGGGAUUCAGUGCAAUGAACCAUGGCUUUUGGCACAGCACAGCAGAUAUCUAAAGGGAGAUUAUGACAGGUCUUCUUGUGGUCUACUUCCUUCUUCAGGUCUUUGCCCACUUGUUGAUCUGGGGGGAUUGGAAUCAGGUUUCAGGGAGAGAAAGGUUUCUGGGAUAAGGAUCCAGUCAAAGAAUGGACCUUCUCCUUUAGCUGGUCUCAGUCAAAAGAGAAAAGAGGCAACUGACUCUCUCAGGGUUUUUUUUUUUCCUUUCAGAGUUCCAAACCUUAUCUCUAUGUCCAAACCCCUGCUGCUGAUGGAAUCCUUGCAGCUCCACCAGGCUUUCUUUCCAAAAGUCUCUGAAAUUUCUCUCUCUCGCACAAUAUAUAAAAUAACAGAUUUAUUUAGCUAAAGGGAGGAGGGGAAAAAGGAAUUAGGGAAUACCUAAUUUCCAACCCCAAACAAAGAUUAAAACCCUUCUGCCUUCUAUAAUUAUUCUAAACUAAAUUCUUAAAUAGUAAUUAAGGUUAGGGAGGUUUGGUAGUAACAAAGACAAGGGCCAAAGAAUCUCACAACCAGGAGUCCUCUUUGAGUCAAGCAGUAGUCUCAGUAACAGUUCUAUUGAAAUCCACUUGACAGUAGCAACAGCAGUAACAUCAGCAAGGAUAAGCAGAAUAUCAAGAAAGCCAAAGAAGAGGGAAUCACUGGCUCUCUGGGUCCAUCCCAGAAAUACCAGACAGAAACCGUCUUGGCUUUCCUGACUGCUAGAGAAAAGCAGCAGCCUCUCCCUCUUCCAGAGGAGUCCACCAACUGCUCCCAGAAACUGCCCGUGUGUUCAGUUUCCCAGAUCCUGAGUGUACUAUGUGGAAUGUUGGUUUGCAGGAUUUCUUGCUGUCAGCUUCUUCCUGCUAAAAUCGCUUACUAUAAUAUGCAAAAAUAUUGACCUAAAUCUACUUUGUUGAACUGUGGUCUCCUAUUAUUCCCUUGUUCAUAUUGUGAUUUCAUGGGACAAAAUUUAACUAUAUGACCAAUUUUGUUGCAAAGGAAGCAUCUUUUACAUCCCCCUGACCUCUCUGUUGGUAUUGGGGUUUUGUUUGUGGGUAACUUCUUAUUGUUGCUAGAAUUUUGACUUCUCCCUCCUUUUGUUUCAAUGUCUCUUUGACUUCCUCUAACUUUUGCUUUAAGUCCCCGAUCUGAUAAUCCUUCUCCUUUUGUUUUUCUGUUUUUGUGUCAUGCAAGUAUUGCAGAAUCUCACAAUUCUUGCAAAGAAAGUGAUUCAAAUUGGGGGCAGUCAUUCUUAAAGAAAUUUUUUAGUGUGUUAUGACAUUCCCAUAAAAAUUGUCAUUUCACAUGUGGUAUUGCCUGUUCACUGUCUUGGGGGUACCCUAAAACAGACUCUUCAUUCUCCAGGAGCCUAUGGAGAUAAAUUGAUGGGUACUAUUUGGGGUCUUGCCCAAUUCUUUCAAAAUUUCCCCAUGCAUUUGGGUGAAUACAGAAGAAUUUGAUUGCUUCCAAUAAAUCUUCCCUAGUUUUUCUCAGGUAUGUUAAGUUUUGGGGCCAAUAAAAUUCUAUGUAACCAUAAAAUUCUGGCCAGUUGUUAAGAUUUGCAUCCUCCCUCGUUUUCCUAAGGAAUUGGGCCUGCUCUUGGGGGCUAAAUAGUUCUUCCAAUAAAAUGUCUUCAAAAUUGGAUUCAAAAAGCCUGAAAGCACAUUUCAGCUCCUUAAGGCACUUGAAAGGCUAUGUGCAGAAUAGGUGCAUUGGCUUUGGAAGUGCCUCCAAAUCCUGAGCUGAGAAUGGUUUAUGGACCCUCAUAUGUAUGAUGCUAGAGUCUUGUGUUAUCUUUGCAAAAACCUGGAGAGGCAUGAUCUUUUGUGCCCAUGCAGCCCCCUCUGCUUGUAUGGAUUCUGUGUUGGUUUGCUUAUCCACCAUUACUUUCUCUGUGCAUAGCCCCACAGUCAAUGCUGUUGAUGUCACCUCCCCCCCCCAUUGUCACUGUCUUUGUCUUUGCCUAUUUCUGUAUUUGUUAUGUUGUCUUUUCCCAUCCCCAGUUUGUCCAUCUUAGUCAUGAAAUCUUGAUACACGUCUGUCAUGGCGGCCAUUUGGGAAAAUAUUCUCUCUAGUUUACUGUCCAUGUUGUUUUUGCAGGCACUCUUUCCCAAGAUCACAUCGAGUCCCUUCCUUACAGUGGUAUAAAGUUGCCAUGCCAUCAUGAGAGAUACAUAGACAGCUGGGAAUAUUGGCGAUAAAGUUGUUAUUUCUAUUGUUAUUCUCAAUAUCUGGUUAUGUUCAUGACUGACCCCAUGACAUCAUAAACCAUGCUGGUUAUUACCACAAAAAGGGAGUAGUAUAAGUGUGCCAUUAUUAUUAGCACCAGGCCAGUCCAUAGUAUUUUUUGGUACAUUUUGCUCUUCUCUGUACCCCACUUUCACCCCAAUUUCUGUACAAGCCUCCGCACAGGAAAAUAGUUGGUCAUUUGAAUCUUCCCUGUAAGCCCCUUCCCUGCUGUGAGCACUGUUCACAGGGUUCUAUGUAGCAAGAUGGCUACCCCUCCUCCCAGUAACUCCCAACUGUCAGUUGCUAAUGGUGGAUUCUUUGUUCUCUAACCAAGGGUGCCACUUGUAAUGUAGGGACUAAAGGGAAUAAGGAGGAUGGAGGGAGAGAAUGAAUGCGAUGAGAGGGUGAACAAUGUUAGUCCCCUCUCUUUCUUUUUGGGGGAAGAUAGCCAAGUCCUGUCUCCUUGACAGAGGGAGUAUGUCUCCUCAGAGAAUGGUUCUGGAAGAUGGAGGACAAGAACUAGAAGUGGAAGCCCUAUUAAGGUGACACAAUGCCCCUCCUUUAGGUCCAAUCUCUUCUUGAGAGGCAAGAUGAAUUCUGCCUCUGGUUUCCUCAGGGACACCAACUGCCAGUCCCCUUCAGGAUCCUGGGGCUAUAACACUGCCAAAGAAAGAUGUUUAUUCCUUGGAUUUGGCAGUUUGUAUCACUGGGAUCCAGAGUUUAACCCCCCCCCCUUUUGGGGAGAGGUAUGACCUCCCAAAAUCUUCAGUCCCCUCUAUUAUUGCUAGAAACUGACCCAGAUCUAAUACUAGAGUAACAGAUGAUUUAUUUAGGUUCAAACAGGGAAGGAGUGGUGAGGGUAUCAAGUAGGGAAAAUAGGGGUACAGGAAGUCCUGUACUUGUCCCCUGUGGCAAAUUGGUCCUCCAAAGUUUAGGGGUUCAAGUCCUUCCCAGCCUUGAUCCCCCUUCUUGUCUGCUUUCAGUUGAUCCCUACUCAUAACUAGCUUUGAAUAUAGGACUCCAUGAACAAAAAAGGGAGAGAGGUAGAGAGGGAGAUCUGGCUUUUGAUUAUAGUUAUUUGGAGUUGAGUGAGAGGUAUCCAGGGAUUCAGGAACAGAUAGUUGAUCUCCAGAAAGACAGCUUCUUCCUAGCCAAGAGAUCUGUUUCUUCCUACUGACUCCCAGCCAGAAGAAGUGUGAAGCGAAGUGGUCAGUUGCCCUUCUCAGCUUCUCAUUCUCUCCUGGAACCUUCAGUUUUUAUUCCUUGCUCCUCCCAGACUCUCUCUGCAGCUGUUACUGUCAGAGACUGCUCUCUGCUAGCAGUGGACUAUACCUCUUCCUAUCUUACAGUACAGGGUCUGUGAUAUAUGUUUUACAUAAAACAAGAGCCAGAGUCAGGACUUGAAAAGGGAGCUGAUUCCAAGUCCAGGUGUCUUUCUAAUGCUCUGCAUUGUCUUUCAGUGUAGUUAACUGAUGUAAAUGAUAAAGCUUGAGACAGUUGGAAUGCACCUUUACAGUCAUUACUGUGAAGGGGGUGGGAGAGAAAACCCAGGAGAAGGACCAAAUGAGUUUAUGUACAGAUCAAUCACUAAGUAUUUUUUUUUAACAUUUACCUUCUGUCUUAGAAUCUAUAUUAAAUAUCAGUUCCAAAGCAAAAACGUGAUAAGAGCUUGGUAAUAGGGGGUAAGUGACUUGCCCAAGAUGACAUAGCUAGGAAGGUUCUGAGGCCACAUUUGAACUGUUAUAUACAAGCCUGGCUUUCUAUCCCCUAAGUCACCCACCUACCUCUUAAUAAGCAUUUAUUAAGCAUUCCAGUCUCUUUGCUAAGUCCUGGGGAUACAAAGACAAAGAAAAAAAGGAAUAGAAACAAUAAUAUAUCCCUGAAGGUUGCAAAAAUGUUAUACUUGUUGGAUUCCUAGAUAGUUAUAACCAGAAACCCAGAAUUAUAAACCAUAAGUUCCCCAGUCUUUAAGAAAAACAGAGUAUUUCUCCAUACUACAAUUGAAAACUCUUAAAUGUCUUUGAGAAAUAACCAAAUAAACUUUAGUAAAACCAAAGGAUCACAGACAAAUCUUUUGAUAACAAGAAUGAUCAUAAAAAUAACUAGCAUUUAUGUAGCACUUUAAAGUUUUCAAAGUAUUUUACAACUAUCUCAUCUUAUUCAUGCAAUGACUCUGGAAGCUAGGUGCUAUCAGCAUUUCAUAGAUGAAGAAACUGAGGCAUAGAGAGUUUAAGUGGCUUGUACAGAGAUACUUAGCUAGUAAUUAUCUGGUCAGAUUUGAACUCCAGCUUAUUGUCUCUAUCUAAGAUAUCAUUUAGUCACCUCUAAUUACUCAGCUAUAACUGAUUUGUUAAAUUUUAAAAAUAAUGUUUUUAUUAAAUAUAAUCAUAGCAUAUACAUAUAAGUGAAACUAUUUGGAAUGAGAAGUUCUAGUGGAAGAAAUAAAAACUAUAUGAUAACAAGCCAAAGAUAUAGUAUAUUAAUUGUCCUGCCUACAUCUAGUAUUGCCCAGAAUAUGCUUUCAGUGAGCCCCCAGAAUAUGAGCUUAUAUCCCAAAACUUUUUUCAAGUACAAAAGCAAUGUUUUUAUCCACUUUUGUAUUGUUUUAUCAAAUAUUAGCCAAUAAGAACAAUAAGAGGAAACCAAGCUGUCCCCAAACAAUUUCUAUUGAAGCAAUAAAAAAUAAAAUGAGAAUAAUUUGAAUUAUGUUAAUAAUGAUGGUAAUAUUUACAUUUAUUUAACUCAAUAAGUUAAGUUAAAUAUGCUAAAUAAAGCACAAUAUAAUAAGUGCUUACAUACAUUAUAGUACUUGAUCUUCACAACAACCUGUGACUUAGCUACUGGUGUUUUUCCUAUUUUAGAGAGGAAGAAGUGGAUUUUCUGAGAGUUUAAGCAAUUUGCUCAUGGUCACAAAGCUAGUGUCUAGGAAAGAUUGGAACUCAAGUCUUCCUAAUGCCAGAUACAGUACUCUAGUUGUUUUGCUAUGCUGUCUUAGUAGUCUUUCAGUGCAUCCCAGUGCUCUUCUUAUGAAAAACUGAAGCCAAGUGAGUAGAAGUGACUUGCCAGAGUUUACAUGGCUAGUGAUAGAGCUGGGACUAAAAAUUAAGCCUCUUAACACCUCAGUUAAUGCUUCUUCCACUGUAACUCACCAUCUCUUGUGCCUGUAUUCAUUUAGCUUUCCCUGUUUACUACCUUCUGAAGACCAAAGAAAACAACAGAAGUCUUGCUUUCAAGUGAUGAUCUGCCACCACCACUGCAACUCAGAAGAUUGAAAAAGACAGUUAUUAGAAUCUUCAGUGAUAAAGAACCCAGAAUUAGUUAUAGGAGGCUGGCAUCUUCUCAGAACAUGAACAAGACUGUUCAGUUUCCUUCUCUUUCCCUUAUACUUAUGUCUCUUUCCUUUUGACCAGGAAGAAAAUAGGCUACCUGUCCAUGAAGAAUACUGGUGGGAGCAGUGAAGGAAUCUUCCUAUCAAUAUUGAAGAUAGUGUCCCCUUUAGACUCAUUAAAAGGACUACUAGAAUGACAUUUGCUUUUCUAUCAUUGUCCAAGGACUCUUUCCUUUGGCUUUCUCCUCAAUGAUAUAACCAGGGAAGAAUAUUUUGAGUUUUGUUAUCUCCUACCAAUUCAUGGAUAUAUAACAGACAUGGAGAUGGAGAGAGAUGAGCUGCAUUGAGAGAGGACAACCAGGAACCAAGGAGAGAAAGAAGUUACAGCCUAGGAAAGCGCAGCUCCAUUAUUCAAAAUACUUCUCAGGCCUCCAGAAUAUGAGAAGAAAAAGAAGAGACCACAGCAUACAAGCCUGUCAGGAAUUUCUCUUCAUUUAGACAAAAGACUCUGAAAGGAGAAAGACCCGUGAAUAGCAAAGUAUUGGUGAGGAAGAGGAAAAUGCAGAUAUGGACAUUCUUUCUGAUUCAUUAACAUUCUCUUAGGCUUUUUCAUCAAUUACUUCUAAUUGGUCCGAGUAAAGGUUUACACAUGCAUAAAUA